GGGGGCGUACAGGCUUUCGACGGGGACAGUGAUGUCAAGGUAAGCGAGUCGCAGUUCCGACCUGCGAUAAAAUCGGAAACUUAAAAAAUAAACGACGAAAAUAACGUUCAACUCGCAGCUGCUUAAUAGCUGCCGUUUGCCUCACCUGCCUGCGUGGUGAGUGUCAAGCGUCAUUACAGCAGGGAACCUCAUCGCCAAAGCUUUGCGGCGCAUGUGUAAUCAUGAAGCUAUCGAAUCACGAUCCUGCCUACUGGAGCGUGUGUAGAGAAAUGAAAUAAUAGGCUGCACUCGGAGAAAAUCUUGAAGUUGCGUUUUCGGACAGGGGUUCGAUUCCCCUCGCCUCCACCA
rnacentral:tmRNA from 1 species